rnacentral:rRNA from 1 species
UACGGAGGGGGCGAGCGUUAUUCGGAAUUAUUGGGCGUAAAGGGCGCGUAGGCGGCGCGAUAAGUCAAAGGUGAAAUCCCUCGGCUCAACUGAGGAACUGCCUUUGAGACUGUCGAGCUCGAGGCCGGGAGGGGGUAGCGGAAUUCCCAGUGUAGCAGUGAAAUGCGUAGAGAUGCGGAGGAACACCGAUGGCGAAGGCAGCCCCCUGGGCUAACACUGACGCUCAGGCACGAAAGCGUGGGGAGCAAACAGG